rnacentral:lncRNA from 1 species
GAUCACAAGAAACUUAAGAAAGGCCAUCUUAGUCCUAUCCCAUUGCCCAAACCCAUUCACAACCCUUCUUAAGUCCCUUCUAUUGAGCUUUGGAUUACUAUUGUUUGGUAAUUGAUUGCAUGCUUAUCUCUUUGAUUAUUUAGUGCCUUAAGCUCUCUCCGAGAAGCUCACGUUCCAUCUCGAAGAUUGAUUUCCAUUGUAAGGAUUUGGGUUCUCCGCUCAUCAAGAAAGGCAAGUCUUGA